rnacentral:lncRNA from 1 species
AGCUCAAGUUUUUCAUUUUAUAAAAUCAUCUGCUUUUUGCACACAAAUAACUCAACAAUGGGAAGUUUUGUUAUAUGUUUAUGGAACAUACCGGUCAGCAUAGCUCAUCAGGUUUUUAGAUCAUGAUGUGGAACACUGUUUGCAAUGCUGCAUCUGGAGAGGAACAGCUGAUGGCUUACAAGACUGUUAGCAGACUGCUGAGGGCACUUGAUACGAGACAGUUCUUAAAUAGGUCCUGAGCAGUGAAACUGCAGAACCUCUGCUGUACUCAGUUGUGCACACCCCUCACCGGUAUUUCAGAAGUAAAAUUUUGGCCUUGUCCAGUUAGCCUCCUUUGCCAGGUACAUGUCUGGUGGUUCAUCCUUCCUUCCUGCUUAUCCCUGGAUGUGGCAGCUGCAGGCUGCAGAGGGUUCUUCCCUCCCCUUUGCAAAUCAAUAUUACGUACACUUAGCCAGGAGCAGCUUAUUGACUGGAAUGUGUAUCAAACUAUAGCAAUUACAGGAUAAUUCUCUUCUUCCUUAUAUAGAAAACAAGUAAAAAGAAUAACCUUAAUUUACUGCAUAGCUCCUAACCGUUCUUUCUUCCUUCUUUCCAAGCCAAACGAUCCCUUUCUGGAGACUGGUUUGUGCUGCCUGAAAACUGUGGACUGGUUCUCUACUUCGAAUUCCUUACCAAGAACUUCAUUUUUCUUGGGAGAUCAAAGACCUCUAAUACUCCACGCUGGAGAUCAGGAAGGGAACAGCAGCCCCUCCCUAACCAAGCAGAUGAUUGGAACUGUGAAGGGCAAAGCACAGCCAGCAGUUACCUGUAUCUCAGGCUAGGAGACUGGAACCCUACGCUGCUAUUGGAAGUGCUUUGCAUUCCCCUUCCUCUCUGGGAUGAGAGAUCAUUUUAUCACUGCAUAAUCCUCUUUUAGGUGGAGGUGAGUGAAUUCCCUUGGAGCUCUUUUCCCUGACUGGGUGUAGGUCUUUCAGUCUGGGGACUGCUUGUACACUCUGCUGAGAGACUGCCCCUUCCCUUGCCCUCUUUCAUCCAGUCACAUGCCCGCACGACUGCAUAAAGUCUUGAUGUAUGGCCGUAUCCAUUGUUGUUGCUGCUUUCAUUUUUGUUCAAACUAGGUCAGCCUUUCCAGAAAGGCAUAGUUUCCCCAUCUGGUAAUCAGCUGUGGAGAUGCAAUCACAACUCCAGUUAACACUAACUCUGAUUUGUGUUUAAUAUAAGACUUUUGGCUAACAUUUCAGCCUUCUAUGAUUCAAGACAGAUUG